UGUGCAACCACUAGUAAUGGAAGUGUAAAUCUGCAAAUGUCAAGUAAUUUGUCUUCUGUCAAAUACUGUUGCAGACUGUCGGCAACAUGGAAAAUUAAUUCAUCCAGUGAGCGAUUUCCAGAUUUCGCGCGUUUUAAUUGUGGGCUUGGGGAGCACGUGUGGAUUUCCAUCAUCUUGAAUGAAAUAUAUAGGCUAAUGCAUUAUUCACAGAUUGUAAGCUAGUGAAGAUGACGAGUGGCAAAAUCUCCAUGUCAGAGGUGGAUUUGUAUCAGGAUUGUGAAAAUGAAGGAGAAACGGUCGAGCCUGGCAGAUGUGCUCUCUAUCUUUCUCUUAUACGUUCUCUCCCUCCUCUCCACUUUUUUGCUCUUUUCUGAACGCAGUCAUCGCCAUCUGUACGGGACAUUGGGCACGAAGAUUCUCAUUACUCAAGUGAGGAGGUCUCCAAUAACAAGGGCGGCUAGCGGACAAUGUUUGAGCGCAUUAGCUGUGCAGUAUGCAUAAUGUAUGACAUGGUGUAUGCGUGCAGGACGAACUUCACCUGGCCUGUGGGCCAGAGAUUAUAGGCGGAGAGAUGAGGCGCAGAGACGAUAUUAUACAGACGGAGAAUUUCAGUCCAUUCAUCUCUGCACAGCGACCACCGAUGGGACACAGACAGUAGAGCUCGCUCGCGGCAGUACUUCGAGAAUGCAUUUAACACCAUCCGAGAUGAGUCCGAGACAAGAGUGCAGUGUUUGAAUCAUUAAUAUGGAAAUCAUUUGUCUCUUCACUGAGUUAUUAUUGCUCGGUAGGUACUGAAGUUCCUCUCAGGGCCGUAAUGAGUUUAAAUUAUGCCUUUUAGAGUUUUGUGUUCCUUAAAAGCAGACUAACUUUUUGGCAAGGACUGGAUAAUACCAUGAUGUACUUACAAGGGGUGCCUUUCUACAAUAUUAAAGCAGCUUUUUAUUUCAAUUUAUUUCAAGCUUAUUUGUAUUGCGCUUUUCAUCGGUACAUUGUUGCAAAACGGCUUUGCACAAGACACAGUGUAAAAUAAACAGAAAGCACAGACAAAUCAAAAAUU